CGGAGGUGAGCAGAUGGACCGGAUGCAAAGCAUAUGACACACCAGGGAAACUUGGAGAAGGACCAUAUGGCAAGAAAUUGAGGGAAGUCUUCAAACACAGUACAGUGAAAAAUUAAAGCCUUCAGUCCAACAGCCAUCAGGAACUGAAUCCUGCCAACAACCACAUGAGUAAGAGAAUCCUCCUUUACCAAGCCUUCAGAUGAGUCUGUAGCCCCAGUUGACACUUUGAUUGCAGCCUUGUGAGAGAACCUGGGGCAGAGGCAGUCAGCUAAACAUCACCUGGAUUUGUGAUCCCCAGGAAUCAUGAUAUAAUAAAUGUCUGUUGUUUUAAGUUGUUACCUUUUGAGGUAAUGUUAUGCAACAAUAGACAACAAAUACACUAAAUUCACUUAUUAGUUCUAAUUAUUAUUUCAUCGACCCU
rnacentral:lncRNA from 10 species